rnacentral:rRNA from 1 species
UACGUAGGUGGCAAGCGUUGUCCGGAUUUACUGGGCGUAAAGAGCGCGCAGGCGGUCGUUCAAGUCGCGUGUGAAAGCCCCCGGCUCAACUGGGGAGGGUCACGCGAUACUGAUCGACUCGAAGGCAGGAGAGGGUAGUGGAAUUCCCGGUGUAGUGGUGAAAUGCGUAGAUAUCGGGAGGAACACCAGUGGCGAAGGCGGAUCUCUGGGCCUUACCUGACGCUGAGGCGCGAAAGCGUGGGGAGCAAACAGG